GAAAAUGUUGGGAAUAAAUCCCGCCACGAAAAUAAUACAAUGAUAAUAAGGAGCAAUAAAUAUGACAGCGCUAAUACGGUUGAUCAACAAGAAUAAUGAGAACAAUAAUGGCACCAAGAUUUUAUGUGGAAACCCUUCUAAAUAAGGAAAAAAAACCACGGACCAAGAGGAGCAACUGAUAUUACUACAGUAAAGAUUUUUACGCCGUAGUCACAAAUACAAUAUUCAAGUUGACUACUAAAUACUCAAAAGAAAUAACCCUCUUUUGACUCUCACCUUACAAAAAUACUUAAUAAGGAAUUUUAUAUCGUAGUCAAAGUGACUACCAAACCUUAGUAAAAAUAUUGCUCACUCUAUUUUUUUCUUCAUAGUCUAUUUUUAUCCCAAUCUGUGAAAUACCUCACCGCUCUACAUUGUUUUUCCCUCUUUGGUGGUGUAUUUUUCUGGUUGGUAUAGGCAAUUUCUGCCUAUUUCACGUAUGCCAUGAUCUCAACUUUGCUGCCAAUUUUGAAAAUUGUAGCAGCCAAAGUUGAGCAAAUUUUAGGCUAUCAAGUUUGAAGCAGCCAAUUAAGACUCGCAAGGGAUGGAACCAUCAAAUCUCCCCCUCCAAUUCUAUGCAUCUGAAGAAGGUAUUUUCGUCCUCUUAGAGAGAGCUUAUGCCGACCUUUAUCAGCAUAUUCGCAGGUUGCUCCCCCUCAAAUCAAGACCACACCACAUGUGACCUCUAUUUCAGCGAUAAUCCAUUUGAUUUCGCUAACCAUCUUAUACCCUCACUACCAACCAGUGGGACACACCGCUCGACCACCAUUUAUUAAGAAGACUUUCAAUACAAGGCAUGAUAGGUAACUUCACAUGAUCUGUCAAACAGAUCUUGUACUGCCGUUAUCAUGGCUAACCAUCUUAUACCGCCACUAUCAACUAGUAGGACAUGCUGCCUGACCACAACUCGCCAGGAAGAUUUUCGACACAAGACACCACCUGCAGAUUUUCAGUCUUAUUGUCACACCGGAAACUUCUCUCACAAAAUGCAGUCCACUACUCCGACACACCCGAACCUGGACUCUGAUACCACUUGUUGCGAAAAAUGAAUAAAUUUUUCCACUACAACAGAACAACAAGCUUUGAUACCAAUUAUUGGGAAUAAAUCCCUCCACGAAAACAAUACAACGAUAAUAAGGAGCAAUAAAUAUGACUGCGCUAAUACUAUUGAUCAACAAGAAUAAUGAGAACAAUAAUGACACCAAGAUUUUAUGUGGAAAUCCUUCUAAAUAAGGAAAAAAACCACGAACCAAGAGGAGCAACUCAUAUUACUAUAGUAAGAAUUUUUACACUAUAAUCACAAAUACAAUAUUCAAGUUGACUACUAAACACUCAAAAGAAAUAACCCUCUUUUGACUUCCACCUUACAAAAAUACCUAGUAAGAAAUUUUAUACCGUAAUCAAAGUGACUAUCACACCUUACUAAAAAUAUUGCUCACUCUAUUUUUUCUUCAUAAUUUAUUUUUAUCCCAAUCUGUAAAAUACCUCACCGCUCUACAUUAUUUUUCCCUCUUUGGUGGUGUAUUUUUCUGGUUGGUGUUGAACAAAGGAGUAGAGGAGCUCCUUUUAUAGGCAAUUUCUGCCCAUUUCA
rnacentral:lncRNA from 1 species